UACGUAGGGUCCGAGCGUUGUCCGGAAUUAUUGGGCGUAAAGAGCUCGUAGGCGGUUUGUUGCGUCGGCUGUGAAAUCCCGAGGCUCAACCUCGGGUCUGCAGUCGAUACGAGCAAACUAGAGUGUUGCAGGGGAGACUGGAAUUCCUGGUGUAGCGGUGAAAUGCGCAGAUAUCAGGAGGAACACCGGUGGCGAAGGCGGGUCUCUGGGCAGCAACUGACGCUGAGGAGCGAAAGCGUGGGGAGCGAACAGG
rnacentral:rRNA from 1 species